rnacentral:tRNA from 1 species
AGUAGAGUGGCUGAGGUUAGUAAGGUGGUAGAUUGUAAAUCUAUUAAGGGGAUAUACCCCUCUACUA